rnacentral:lncRNA from 1 species
CUGCAUUCCUGCUUGAAAGAAACUUCUGUUUAAUAAUAUUUAAUUAAUGUUAUUUCUUUUUAGGGAUAUCUGGUAAAGCAAUUGCACUACUUUGUUCAAGGAUACCGUCUGAAUCAGGUUAAAAAGUUCAUCUGGAAGUGACAUAACCAUAAAAGAUAUCCCGUCAAAGCAGCAUGUCCUUACUUCUGCUUGUAUGCUAUGGCUGGGCAUUGUUCAUGGCUUUCCCAGCUUUUUUUUUUUUUUUUUGGCAGAAAUCCUGUGCAAUUAUAACCCAGCUAGAGACUAUCCUUUCUGUUCAACCUGUCACUGUAACACACUGCUAAAGCACUUUCAGCUGGCAAAUCAGCACAGAAUAUAUCAUACUGGACUUAUGGGCUAGAGUUAACAAUAAGAAGCCAAAGGAAGUUCAGGAAAUUCCAGAAGUCUUGAACUGUAUUAGAAAAAGGUAGGCUUGUAGUUUCUUUCUUGAAGACUGAACGUGCAUGUGCUAGACUUAUUUUGUCACAGCUAAUAAUAAUUAUGGAAAAUUGCCUGCAUAAAUUGAAUAUAGAAGUCUCCUAAUUAAUUUGGAACUUGAAACUGAUUACAGAAAAUUUAGUUCCUAAGGAUGUGAUAAGGAUGGUACUCUUUGGAAUAACACUAAUUCAGGUAUCAUCACCUGGUCUAAAUUCAAAGUGAAAGAAAGCCUUCCCAAAUCCUUUCAGCACCUCUAGGAAGCUACCCGUUGGCUACAACAGCACCUAACAGUCCCAGUUGUGUUCAAAGCCCAAAGCCUCAUUUGGCCUCAGCUGAAAAAGGAUCCAACUACAAAGAGACACAAGGUAUUAUUUUGGCUGCAGACACCGGCAGUGUAAUUAACUAAAAGGAAAAUUCGGC